rnacentral:miRNA from 1 species
AUGUAAAUCCCCUGGAGAGCUUGUUACAAUGCUGAUUCUGAGUCAGCCACUGUGGUCCAGCCUGAGAUUCUGCAUUUCUAGCCAGCUCUCAGGAGAUGGAAUU